rnacentral:rRNA from 1 species
UACGAAGGGGGCGAGCGUUGUUCGGAUUUACUGGGCGUAAAGGGCGCGUAGGCGGCGCUUCAAGUCGCGUGUGAAAGCCCCCGGCUCAACUGGGGAGGGUCACGCGAUACUGCUCGACUUGAAGGCAGGAGAGGGAAGUGGAAUUCCCGGUGUAGUGGUGAAAUGCGUAGAUAUCGGGAGGAACACCAGUGGCGAAGGCGACUUCCUGGCCUGUUCUUGACGCUGAGGCGCGAAAGCUAGGGUAGCAAACGGG